CUAGAGCAAUGAGGCGAACGAGCAGAAUCUUUUCCAGCAUUGCUAUUUGUUUAUCAUCUUUGUUAUUUCUUUUUGAGUCAAGUGACUCUGAAAGUUCUGUGAGGACCUGGUCAUGUCAAAAUGGUCAGUGUACUGUCAAACCUAAUCAACUGUACACAGCCACCAACUGUACAGACGGCGCCACUAACUCUAUUUUUUGUUCUCAGCGGAAAUGGCAAUGCAGAAAUGGCACAUGUCAAGAAAUAGAUCCUGGAUGUUUCACAGAUGAUCUCGACCUGUUCCAUAGUGUUGCAGACUUU
rnacentral:sRNA from 1 species